rnacentral:rRNA from 1 species
UACGGGGGGGGCAAGCGUUGUUCGGAAUUACUGGGCGUAAAGGGCUCGUAGGCGGCCAACUAAGUCAGACGUGAAAUCCCUCGGCUUAACCGGGGAACUGCGUCUGAUACUGGAUGGCUUGAGGUUGGGAGAGGGAUGCGGAAUUCCAGGUGUAGCGGUGAAAUGCGUAGAUAUCGUGAGGAACACCAGAGGCGAAGGCGGUUACCUGGACAGUUACUGACGCUCAGGCACGAAAGCAUGGGGAGCAAAAGGG